rnacentral:rRNA from 1 species
CCUACGGGCGGCAGCAGUGAGGAAUAUUGGUCAAUGGGCGCGAGCCUGAACCAGCCAAGUAGCGUGAAGGAUGACUGCCCUACGGGUUGUAAACUUCUUUUAUAAAGGAAUAAAGUGAGGCACCUGUGCCUUUUUGUAUGUACUUUAUGAAUAAGGAUCGGCUAACUCCGUGCCAGCAGCCGCGGUAAUACGGAGGAACCGAGCGUUAUCCGGAUUUAUUGGGUUUAAAGGGAUCGUAGAUGGGUUGUUAAGUCAGUUGUGAAAGUUUGCGGCUCAACCGUAAAAUUGCAAUUGAUACUGGCAGUCUUGAGUACAGUUGAGGUAGGCGGAAUUCGUGGUGUAGCGGUGAAAUGCGUAGAUAUCGGGAGGAACACCAGUGGCGAAGGCGGUUUACUGGACCACAACUGACGCUGAGACACGAAAGCGUGGGGAGCAAACAGGAUUAGAUACCCUUGUAGUC